AGAGUUUGAUCCUGGCUCAGAUUGAACGCUGGCGGCAUGCUUUACACAUGCAAGUCGAACGGCAGCACGGGGGCAACCCUGGUGGCGAGUGGCGAACGGGUGAGUAAUAUAUCGGAACGUACCCAGGAGUGGGGGAUAACGUAGCGAAAGUUACGCUAAUACCGCAUACGUCCUACGGGAGAAAGCAGGGGACCGCAAGGCCUUGCGCUCAUGGAGCGGCCGAUAUCUGAUUAGCUAGUUGGUGGGGUAAAGGCUCACCAAGGCAACGAUCAGUAGCUGGUCUGAGAGGACGACCAGCCACACUGGGACUGAGACACGGCCCAGACUCCUACGGGAGGCAGCAGUGGGGAAUUUUGGACAAUGGGGGCAACCCUGAUCCAGCAAUGCCGCGUGAGUGAAGAAGGCCUUCGGGUUGUAAAGCUCUUUUGUCAGGGNAAGAAAAGGAGCCGGCUAAUACCCGGUUCUGCUGACGGUACCUGAAGAAUAAGCACCGGCUAACUACGUGCCAGCAGCCGCGGUAAUACGUAGGGUGCAAGCGUUAAUCGGAAUUACUGGGCGUAAAGCGUGCGCAGGCGGUUUUGUAGGUCUGUCGUGAAAUCCCCGGGCUUAACCUGGGAAUGGCGAUGGAGACUGCAAGGCUGGAGUUUGGCAGAGGGGGGUAGAAUCCACGUGUAGCAGUGAAAUGCGUANAGAUGUGGGAGGAACACCGAUGGCGAAGGCAGCC
rnacentral:rRNA from 1 species